rnacentral:rRNA from 1 species
UACAGAGGUCUCAAGCGUUGUUCGGAUUCAUUGGGCGUAAAGGGUGUGUAGGUGGCGCCGUAAGUCGGGUGUGAAAUUUCGGAGCUUAACUCCGAAACUGCAUUCGAUACUGCGGUGCUUGAGGACUGGAGAGGAGACUGGAAUUACGGUGUAGCGGUGAAAUGCGUAGAUAUCGUAAGGAAGACCAGUGGCGAAGGCGGGUCUCUGGACAGUUCCUGACGCUGAGGCACGAAGGUCAGGGGAGCAAACGGG